GAUGAACGCUAGCGGCAGGCCUAAUACAUGCAAGUCGAACGGAUAUAUGUUUUUCGGAAUAUAUAUUAGUGGCGCACGGGUGAGUAACACGUACAUAACUUGCCCUCAAGCGGGGGAUAGCCUUGGGAAACUGAGAGUAAUACCCCAUAGAAUUAUUGGACGGCAUCGUUUGAUAAUUAAAACUACGGUGUUUGGGGAUAGAUGUGCGUCUGAUUAGCUAGUUGGUGAGGUAACGGCUUACCAAGGCGACGAUCAGUAGGGGGCGUGAGAGCGUGGCCCCCCACACGGGUACUGAGACACGGACCCGACUCCUACGGGAGGCAGCAGUAAGGAAUAUUGGUCAAUGCCCGGAAGGGUGAACCAGCCAUGCCGCGUGAAGGAUGACUGCCCUCUGGGUUGUAAACUUCUUUUUGGAUGGGACGAAAAAACGGGAUUUAUCCUGGACUGACGGUACCAUCAGAAUAAGCACCGGCUAACUCCGUG
rnacentral:rRNA from 1 species